rnacentral:rRNA from 1 species
AAAUUGAAGAGUUUGAUCAUGGCUCAGAUUGAACGCUGGCGGCAGGCCUAACACAUGCAAGUCGAGCGGUAGCACAGAGAGCUUGCUCUCGGGUGACGAGCGGCGGACGGGUGAGUAAUGUCUGGGAAACUGCCUGAUGGAGGGGGAUAACUACUGGAAACGGUAGCUAAUACCGCAUAACGUCGCAAGACCAAAGUGGGGGACCUUCGGGCCUCAUGCCAUCAGAUGUGCCCAGAUGGGAUUAGCUAGUAGGUGGGGUAAUGGCUCACCUAGGCGACGAUCCCUAGCUGGUCUGAGAGGAUGACCAGCCACACUGGAACUGAGACACGGUCCAGACUCCUACGGGAGGCAGCAGUGGGGAAUAUUGCACAAUGGGCGCAAGCCUGAUGCAGCCAUGCCGCGUGUGUGAAGAAGGCCUUCGGGUUGUAAAGCACUUUCAGCGGGGAGGAAGGCGUUAAGGUUAAUAACCUCAUCGAUUGACGUUACCCGCAGAAGAAGCACCGGCUAACUCCGUGCCAGCAGCCGCGGUAAUACGGAGGGUGCAAGCGUUAAUCGGAAUUACUGGGCGUAAAGCGCACGCAGGCGGUCUGUCAAGUCGGAUGUGAAAUCCCCGGGCUCAACCUGGGAACUGCAUUCGAAACUGGCAGGCUAGAGUCUUGUAGAGGGGGGUAGAAUUCCAGGUGUAGCGGUGAAAUGCGUAGAGAUCUGGAGGAAUACCGGUGGCGAAGGCGGCCCCCUGGACAAAGACUGACGCUCAGGUGCGAAAGCGUGGGGAGCAAACAGGAUUAGAUACCCUGGUAGUCCACGCCGUAAACGAUGUCGAUUUGGAGGUUGUGCCCUUGAGGCGUGGCUUCCGGAGCUAACGCGUUAAAUCGACCGCCUGGGGAGUACGGCCGCAAGGUUAAAACUCAAAUGAAUUGACGGGGGCCCGCACAAGCGGUGGAGCAUGUGGUUUAAUUCGAUGCAACGCGAAGAACCUUACCUGGUCUUGACAUCCACAGAACUUUCCAGAGAUGGAUUGGUGCCUUCGGGAACUGUGAAACAGGUGCUGCAUGGCUGUCGUCAGCUCGUGUUGUGAAAUGUUGGGUUAAGUCCCGCAACGAGCGCAACCCUUAUCCUUUGUUGCCAGCGGUUAGGCCGGGAACUCAAAGGAGACUGCCAGUGAUAAACUGGAGGAAGGUGGGGAUGACGUCAAGUCAUCAUGGCCCUUACGACCAGGGCUACACACGUGCUACAAUGGCAUAUACAAAGAGAAGCGACCUCGCGAGAGCAAGCGGACCUCAUAAAGUAUGUCGUAGUCCGGAUUGGAGUCUGCAACUCGACUCCAUGAAGUCGGAAUCGCUAGUAAUCGUAGAUCAGAAUGCUACGGUGAAUACGUUCCCGGGCCUUGUACACACCGCCCGUCACACCAUGGGAGUGGGUUGCAAAAGAAGUAGGUAGCUUAACCUUCGGGAGGGCGCUUACCACUUUGUGAUUCAUGACUGGGGUGAAGUCGUAACAAGGUAACCGUAGGGGAACCUGCGGUUGGAUCACCUCCUUA